UACGUAGGGGGCAAGCGUUAUCCGGAUUUACUGGGUGUAAAGGGAGCGUAGGCGGCUUAGUAAGUCAGAAGUGAAAGCCCGCAGCUCAACUGCGGGACUGCUUUUGAAACUGCCAAGCUAGAGUGUCGGAGAGGUAAGUGGAAUUCCUAGUGUAGCGGUGAAAUGCGUAGAUAUUAGGAGGAACACCAGUGGCGAAGGCGAUUUGCUGGACGAUGACUGACGUUGAGGCUCGAAAGUGUGGGUAUCAAACAGG
rnacentral:rRNA from 1 species